GCCUGAGAGGGUGUUCCCCGCCAAGGGCACUGAGACACGGGCCCUACUCCUACGGGAGGCAGCAGCCGAGAAUAUUGGGCAAUGGGCGAAAGCCUGACCCAGCGACGCCGCGUGCCGGAAGAAGCCCUUCGGGGUGUAAACGGCUUUUCUGGGGGAGGAAUCUCUGAGGCAAAACCUCAGAGUGACAGUACCCCAGGAAUAAGGGACGACUAACUUCGUGCCAGCAGUCGCGGUAAGACGAAGGUCCCCAGCGUUACCCGGAUUUACUGGGCGUAAAGGACGAGAAGGCGGGAACGUAAGUUUACCCUAAAAGUCACCGAGCUCAACUCGGUGAAUGGGGUAAAUACUGCGUUCCUAGAGUCUGCCAGGGGCCAGCGGAACGGUCGGUGUAGGGGUGAAAUCCGAUGAUAUCGACCGGAACGCCGAAGGCGAAGGCAGCUGGCUAGGGCAGUACUGACGCUGAUCUCGUGAAAGCCAGGGGCGCGAACCGGAUUAGAUACCCGGGUAGUCCUGGCCGUAAACGAUGGGUGCUAGCUUUGGGGAGAGUCGACCCUCUCUGAGGCGAAGCUAACGCGUUAAGCACCCCGCCUGGGGAGUAUGUCCGCAAGGCCGAAACUCAAAGGAAUAGGCGGAAGCCCGACCAAGCGGUGGACCAUGUUGCUUAAUUCGAGAGUGACCGAAAAAUCUUACCUGGGCUUGACAUGCUAGUCUUAAUGCCUUCUCCGAAAGGAGAAGGAAUCCAGGCUCUGCCUGGAGGGCUAGCACAGGUGCUGCACGGCCGUCGUCAGCUCGUGGCGUGAGCCGUAACCUUAAGUGGCGCAACGAGCGCAACCCCUACCCUGUGUUACACGUGUCACAGGGGACUGCCUGGUCUACCCAGGAGGAAGGUGGGGAUGACGUCAGGUCCGCGUGGCCCUUAUGCCCAGGGCGGCAAACAUGGUACAAUGCCGGGUACAAAGGGUUGCGAUGCCGCGAGGCUGAGCUAAUCCCUAAAAGCCCGGCCCAGUUCGGAUCGGAGGCUGGAACCCGCCUCCGUGAAGGCGGAAUCGCUAGUAAUCGCGGAUCAGCGAUGCCGCGGUGAAUACGUUCUCGGGCUUUGCACUCACCGCCCGUCAGGUCAGGGGAGUCAUCUCUACCUGAAGUCCUACUUUUGUAGGAUUAGGGUAGGGGUGAUGACCAGGGCUAAGUCGUAACAAGGUAUCGCUAGCGGAAGCUGGCGAUG
rnacentral:rRNA from 1 species